AGUGGGGACAAGCGUGCUUUGGCCUGGUUCGAGGCAAAUGUACAUAGUGUGAGUACGGCCUUACAUAGCCAAGCAGGGCUGCGCCAGGUCAGUACCUGGAUGGUAGACCACAUGGAAAAGCUAGGUUGCUGCCAUAA
rnacentral:rRNA from 1 species